ensembl:snoRNA
GCCCGGCCCUAUCGAAGCUGCGCCUGCCCUGCGCUGUGGCAGCCGCAGUCAAAAAGGCGCCGAGAGCCACGCGUUUUCCUCGACGGUCGCUGCACAGUUUGGUUUUCUGUAACUGCCCAGCAACAAAUCGGGAAAGUACAGGG